GCUGGGCGUGGUGACUCACGCCUGUAAUCUCAGCACUUUGGGAAGCCGAGACAGGUGGAUCACCUGAGGUCAGGAGUUCCAGACCAGCCUGGCCAACAUGGUGAAACCCUGUCUCUA
rnacentral:SRP_RNA from 1 species